ACCACGAAACUGCAGAACUCCCAUCAAGCCAUCUGAUAUUGACCUCCCCCUAAACGGGGUGCUUAUGAGCUCUGGCCUUUAUACUAUGCUACCCUUCUUAGUUAGCAGAGGCACUCCAUAAAUACUGAGAACUCAUUGGCUGCUUGAGUAGCUAACAAAUAAUAAUGUUUACAGCUUCCUUCCAGAACUCACGGCCAAAGCAACUCUGCUAAAUGGCCUCCUUUCCUCCUCUCUUCCUCAGUGACUUGCUUAUAUACAUUUUGAGACUCAUCCUGCAAUAGUUGGGAAGCAAUUAUGUUGAGGUUUCUUCUUAACAAUGAAAAAAGGAACAAAGUCCAUAGGGGAAAAGUCCCCCUGAACCGGUUGUGAACAGGAAAACACACCCUGACUAUGGUUACACAUGGUGCUCCAAGGUUCUCUAAUCUAACGUCCCAUUGUGAUGUCAAGAGCCACUUCCCCCGGCUUCUGAGGGAGACACACAAGCAGUCCUUUAAUCCGGGCAGGAGGUGAGUGCUAGGGAGAGAUCUGAGGGCAGAGGCCGCUGACACAGAGGAUAAAGUCUGAGCCACGGAGACCUCCCGGACAGCAACCGUAAUAUUUGGGAGCACCAGGAACAGAACCUCAGUGCGUAUGUCUCAGAAGCAGCUGGACCAGCAUGUCGAGGGGAUUUUUCCUUAGGGCUCCCAGUAAAACAGGUGCACGCCCGAAUGCUCAGAAGCAUGGAGAAGAAAUCAGGACAGAAAUGUGGAGGCAAACAGGCCCAGCUCUCCCUACAGCUGAUUUUUAAGAACACAUUUCUUCCCUAUUUUAACAUAAUGCAAGAUUUAUUUCUGUCAAGCCAUACUAGAUUAUACGCACACGCCUACCUGAACAGGAGCCCAUGUGCCCUUAUUUUUUUGCACAUGACUCAGACUCCGGUUUCCCAGAGUCUCUUGGUCCUCAGAGACACUGCCACUGUAUCACCUGUCAGUCAGAAAUCCUCAGAUCCUAACCAUCCACCUAUGUGACCAUUGGACAUAUCAGUGUGGAAUUGGAAGUCAGCAGAAGAUCCCAGCCGUUUCAAAUGGCUCUGGGGCCGAAACGACAUUUGAGGCGAAAAAGAACCAUGAUCUCCGUCCCUCUUAACUUGACCCAGCUCAUUGCUCAAGAGGCAGGCUCCCCACUGGCUCCUCUUCCAAGUGCUCUUAACAAACUCAUCAGGCCUCACAAAGCUGUAUUUCCCCCUCUCAGUCAGAAAACACAGAUCAAUAUACUCAGCAGAAGCACUUA